CGCUAGCUGCCUAUUAGCUCAGUGGCAGCACUCGCUCAUGUUUCCCCUGCUCUGAAUAUAAACCCCUGCCCAAUUCUGAGAAGUACCACCUGCCUGCACAAGAGUGUGUUUAUGGGGUAUUCAUGUUUGGAUCACUGUAGCUGGACAAUCUUUCUUGGCUUUUGAGCUGUUUUGCUCUAGGGGCUCCUGCUUGUGCCUCCUGAUUAGUGACCAGCUGUGACUCCACCACUUCCUUGCCAAGAAAUCUGCACUUGAAGCCCUCUGAGAAGAUAUGUCCUCAGCUCUCCCAGCACUGAGCCAUGCAAUUGAAAGGAUACAACACCAACCCCAAAUCAGGAUUCUACAGACUAAGGAUCUGUGCCCCUGACCUUUUUGGAGGCCCAACCUGCUUGUCAGUGCUCUGGCUCAAGAAGCUGCAGCCUGCCAUACCCACCUGCUGGCCUCUUGGCAAGGAGGAAAGUGUGACGUGUGCCUUGCUGAGCAAAGCAAAAUGACAUUGCUGCCUAUCCCAGCCAGUUGUCAGCAUGUCCAGUGCUAAUUGUGUCAUUGCUGCACUACUGCCGUUUCUGCAAAGAUAAGGAAGAAACACUUUUCUUGCAGUAGAGGCAAUGUAAGCAGUGUCUGAGGUUGAUAAGCGACAUGGCAUGGCCUAGGAGGAACCAAUAAAUGAAGAAAAAAAAGCAGAAACUUUGUGUCCUUUGAACUAUCCACUUUUGGUAUCGGAGAUGUUGCUGAGCUUUUGUUCUGUGCAAGAAGCCUUCCUCUUUCAUCAGUCUUUCACUUGAGCACUUACUGGGACCUUCUUCACCUAGAUCACUCAUAAAAGGCUGAAAUUGUGCUAAUUCUCAGGAUGGGAUUGUUAAUAAGGGUAUGAAGAAGCGAUGGGAAGUCUAGCCACAAAUGAGGUCUAGAAUAUUUUCAGUUCUCUGAAGAGCCUCCAUCCAUUUAAACCUCGGGUAAUGUUUCUCUUAUAAAGCACAAGUGUGAAGCAGCGUGAGCCAAACACUUUCUCUUAUUUGUCUUCCACAAUAUUCUUGGUGGCAAAAACUAUUGCUCAUUUAACAAAAAAAUCCUAAGUGUUAUACCAGUAAUAAAGAAAACAGUUUGCAUUUCAGAUGAAGAGGCAAUAACGUAUCACAAAAUAUUUACUCUACCCAGAAGAGCAGCAAUUUACAGACAAUUUAACAGCAAUUUGACUCUUUUUGUGUAUAUAUUUAAAGCUUGCAGCGAUGUUUUCACACUCAGGUUUUCAUUUGUGCAUUAAGUAAUUUUCUUUAAGGCUUAGAAUUUGAUCGGGUAAUAUCUUGAAUUUAAAUUCUCCCAAAGCUAAUAGCGGUCUAGAUCUGAGGUUUUUAUAGCUCAUGGCAUACAAGGUGUGCUUGUUUUGUUGAAUUUUUUUUGUUGUUGUUGUUUGCUUUUUUGGUGGAUUUUUUUUUUACGUGUGUGUGUGUAUAUAUAUAUAUAUUUUUUUUUUUUUUAAAAAAAAAAAACAGAUUGCAGACCUAUUCACUUUUUCUGGAGAAAUUUAACAAUAUAAGCUUGUAAGUUUUCAGCUUUUAAGUGAAGUAGAAAAGCUAACCGUUCUACCUGGUGCCACAACUGAACUAUAGACUUCUCUUUAAGCUUUAUUAAUGGUAGCAUCAGCAGCUGCGUACCAAGGUCAAAUACUGCCUCACUCACAUGGCAGCUGUCCCAUCAGCAAAGCCAAACCCCAGCACAGCCACCUGGGUUUGGCUUUGUGUGGACUGUCUGCAGAGCUGAGCACGCACUGCUGCCACUCACAUGGUCUUAACAGACAACAUAUUCCAGGAGAAUGCCAUCGGAGGCCUGGCAUCCAUCCAGAAUCAUGGAGCUAGUGAAGGAUACGGGUAGGAAACUGUUGUGAGCUUCACUGUUGUGUUGAAGCACAGGCUUGCGUUCCACACUGAAAGUAGUUAAGUGCAGCACAUUUUCCAGAAUGGAUUUGGUCAGGUGAUUGUACUUGGAGGGCUGGCAAUAUCAUUGCUUCCCAGAUGUAGGUGGGUGACAGCUUCAGAACUGCUGGAGCCUAAAAGCAUCCUCUUUACAAUUGCAAGCUCUGAAAAACUAUUCUACCCUAUCCAUUUAUGUUUCCAACUUUGUCUUAUUGUAUACCAGUUUUACUAAAGCCAAGAGACACACAGUCUUGCAACUGACUUAAUUUCAUUCAGUGAUAAUGAAGUUUUGGCUAGUUAUUUCCUGACUUCAUAGUCCAACAUAGUUAUUCCCUGAUUUCACAGUCCAAGGUAGAACACGAACCCUGAGGAAAUAACUUGGAAAUUAUAAUCCAUAUUUUUAAUAUUAAAACAAAAAAUCAAAAUUUGAGUUAAAAGAAUUAUAAAAAUUUAGCUUUCCUGCUGAACUGUGGUAUAUUUUCUGCAGAGUAUGUAAAACAUUCCUUACAUCGCAUUUGAGCUUAUCUGAAGAGUGAGAUCAAUUUUUCUGUGGUAGAAUUUGGAUGCCCCAUCCCGGGAGGCAUUCAAGGCCAGGUUGGAUGUGGCUCUGGGCAGCCUGGUCUAGUGGUUGGGAACCUUGUACAUAGUUGAAAUUAGAUGAUUGUUGCGGUCCUUUCCAACCCAGGCCGUUCUGUGAUUCUAUGAAAAUUUGUUCUUGCUUUCCUGAGAGCCAAGCAAGCAUGUACUUAAGUAAACAGUAUUUGAUACCUAACAAAAGUAAACGACCUGUGGAAUUCUAAGAGGAAAUGUUUCAUGGGACAGCAGGCCCUCUUGGCUCCCACUUGCAACCUUCAGGCCCCCAGCAGCUAUAAUGGAUGAGGAAGCUUGUCCCUGGUGCAGGCCUCAAGCCCCCAGUAUGAGCUCUACUGAAUGAGCCUGAAGCUCUUUCAUCCAAGACCCAACUUGCUCCUCUGCCCCAGCAUCAGGGCUCUUUGGCUUUUGCUUCCGUCUCCUCCAUGGCUUUGUUUCUCAACCACACCCAGCAAGACUCACUUGCUUCAGUCUCCUGUUCUGCUUUCAAGGCCUCUCUCUCUGGAGGUGAGGCAGAAACAAGAUAUCGCUUGUUGCCAAGGCUUUUCUGGCUGUAAUCAGUUCUGGUCUGGAUUUGGUGCAAAAUGCAAACUUGUGCAGUACCAUAGCAACAACAAGCAAAAUCAAACAACAAAGGUGCAGGUAUUGAGAGGAAAGCAGUGACAACAAGAAAUGCACGUGCAGCCUGCAAUAUUUUAAAGCCCAUUUAGAGAGCUGAAGAGUCCCUCCACAAGCAUUCUUUAUCAUGAUAAAGCAGAGACAAAGUGAGUAAAUCAUAAAACUUUAUUGCUAGCAAGGAGGAAUUGUUUAUUUGAUAUCCUGUAUCAAAGGAAAUUAGAGUGCAAAUAAAUACCAUCAUACUACAUAUUGAUUUUUCUUUAAAACACGUUGUUACUGGCAAACAGGACAUAGAAACUGGGUUUCUUCCAACAGCAUUAAAAAUUAAGACCUCAAGUAGAAAAAAAAAUCAUGCCCUAAGACUGCAAGGUACAG
ensembl:lncRNA